UACGUAGGGGGCAAGCGUUGUCCGGAUUUAUUGGGCGUAAAGAGCGUGUAGGCGGCCAUGCAGGUCCGUUGUGAAAACUCGAGGCUCAACCUCGAGACGCCGGUGGAAACCGUGUGGCUAGAGUCCGGAAGAGGAGAGUGGAAUUCCUGGUGUAGCGGUGAAAUGCGCAGAUAUCAGGAAGAACACCCGCGGCGAAGGCGGCUCUCUGGGACGGUACUGACGCUGAGACGCGAAAGCGUGGGGAGCAAACAGG
rnacentral:rRNA from 1 species